rnacentral:rRNA from 1 species
GUGGGGUCAUUCCACGGAUUCCGUGACGCAGCUAACGCAUUAAGUUCCCCGCCUGGGGAGUACGGCCGCAAGGCUAAAACUCAAAGGAAUUGACGGGGACCCGCACAAGCGGCGGAGCAUGCGGAUUAAUUCGAUGCAACGCGAAGAACCUUACCAAGGCUUGACAUAUACGAGAACGGGCCAGAAAUGGUCAACUCUUUGGACACUCGUAAACAGGUGGUGCAUGGUUGUCGUCAGCUCGUGUCGUGAGAUGUUGGGUUAAGUCCCGCAACGAGCGCAACCCUCGUUCUAUGUUGCCAGCACGUAAUGGUGGGAACUCAUGGGAUACUGCCGGGGUCAACUCGGAGGAAGGUGGGGAUGACGUCAAAUCAUCAUGCCCCUUAUGUCUUGGGCUUCACGCAUGCUACAAUGGCCGGUACAAAGGGCUGCAAUACCGCGAGGUGGAGCGAAUCCCAAAAAGCCGGUCCCAGUUCGGAUUGAGGUCUGCAACUCGACCUCAUGAAGUCGGAGUCGCUAGUAAUCGCAGAUCAGCAACGCUGCGGUGAAUACGUUCCCGGGUCUUGUACACACCGCCCGUCAAGUCAUGAAAGUCGGUAACACCUGAAGCCGGUGGCCCAACCCUUGUGGAGGGAGCCGUCGAA